rnacentral:rRNA from 1 species
GAGUUUGUCGGUUGGUCGGGCUUCACUGUCCGCACUGGCCUGAUGGAUUCCUACCUUCUGAAUAACCAGCAUGCUAUUAAGUUAGUGCGUUGGGGAAGCAGAGCUAUUACCUUGAAAAAAUUAGAGUGCUUAAAGCAGGCUUAUGCUUGAAUAGAUUAGCAUGGAAUAAUAAAAUAGGACGGCAUGGUCCCGUUUUGUUGGUUUCUAGGACCGUUGUA